rnacentral:rRNA from 1 species
UACGUAGGGUGCAAGCGUUAAUCGGAAUUACUGGGCGUAAAGCGCGCGUAGGUGGUUCGUUAAGUUGGAUGUGAAAGUCCAGGGCUCAACCCUGGAAUGCCAGUGGAAACUGUCGAGCUAGAGUCCGGAAGAGGCGAGUGGAAUUCCUGGUGUAGCGGUGAAAUGCGCAGAUAUCAGGAAGAACACCCGUGGCGAAGGCGGCUCUCUGGGACGGUACUGACGCUGAGACGCGAAAGCGUGGGGAGCGAACAGG